CUAUGGUUUAUUGGAUCAUACCCGUUAAAUGGAUAACUGUAAUAACUCUAGAGCUAAUACAUGCCUCGAUGCCCUGACUCUGUCUGCUAUGCUAUGCUAUGCUGUGCUGUGGAUGGGGAAUGGGUGCACUUAUUAGAUCAGAAGCCAACCAACGAUGCGUGUGCGGCUGCAAAGUCGUGGCGUGCGUUGAGACACUUCUGGUGACUCUGGAUAAUUGUUACAGAUCGCAGUCGGCCUUGAGUCGGCGACGGGUCCUUCAAAUGUCUGCCCUAUCAACUUUCGAUGGUAGGUGACCUGCCUACCAUGGUGAUAACGGGUGACGGGGAAUCAGGGUUCGAUUCCGGAGAGGGAGCCUGAGAAACGGCUACCACUUCCAAGGGAGGCAGCAGGCGCGCAAAUUACCCACUCCCAGUACGGGGAGGUGGUGACGAAAAAUACCGAUGCGGGACUCCUUAAAGAGGCUCCGUAAUCGGAAUGAGUGGACUCUAAAUCCUUUCACGAGGAUCCAUUGGAGGGCAAGUCUGGUGCCAGCAGCCGCGGUAACUCCAGCUCCAAUAGCGUAUAUUAAAGUUGCUGCAGUUAAAAAGCUCGUAGUUGGAUCUCGGUAGCACUGUUGCCCGUCGGUAUUUGAGCGGCUGGUGUGUGGCAUAUGACGCGCGGUCUCAGCUUUGGCGGUCUGCUAGCGGGUGCGUCGGCGAUCGGGUGGUCUGCUUGGUCGACGGGUCGGUGGAUUGAUCUAUUCAUCGGUCGGUUGGUCAGUCGGUCGCGCGCUCCUCUUCUCUCCUCUCCUCUCUGACUCAAUCAAUCACUCGCUCACUCGUUGGUUUGCUCGGUCGCCCAUGCGACGCUGGCUGGCUGGCUGGCUGGCUGGCUGGCUGGCUGGCUGGCUAGUCGUGCUGGUGCAUGACUGGGUAGAUGGGUGGGUGGUGGUUGGGGUGGUGGGGUGUGGAUGGGUUGGGUGUGCGUGGACGUGGAUGGCUCGCCCGUUCGUUGAUGUGUCUGUUGCAGCGCCGCGCAGGGCGGGGCUGGGUUGUUGUGGCCAUUGAUUAGCGCUGUCGUGUCAAGCCGACAAGGCGGUGGUGUCACCUUUGAGCCAUGUCUGUGGUGUAGCAGCCGCAGGUGUGGGCGGGUGUUGGGCAGUGCCUCGCACACACUGUGGGGCCUGUCGGCUCGUCUGCAUGCCUUUGGAUGCCCUUCAAAAGGUGUCCGUGGGCGGAUGGCACGUUUACUUUGAACAAAUUUGAGUGCUCAAAUCAGGCCGAUGUUGCCUGAAAAGUUUUGCAUGGAAUAAUGGAAUAGGACUUCGGUUCUAUUUCGUUGGUUUUCGGAUCCGAAGUAAUGAUCAAAAGAGACAGGCGGGGACGUUUGUAUGGCUGCGCUAGAGGUGAAAUUCAUGGACCGUAGCCAGACAGACUAAAGCGAAAGCAUUCGUCAAGCAUGUUUUCAUUGGCCAUGAGCGAAAGUCAGAGGCUCGAAGACGAUCAGAUACCGUCCUAGUUCUGACCAUAAACGAUGCCAACUGACGAUCCGUGGUGGUAGUUCUUAAACCUUCCCCACGGGCAGUCCCCGGGAAACCUUUAANNNNNNNNNNNNNNNNNNNNNNNNNNNNNNNNNNNNCCUGCGGCUUAAUUUGACUCAACACGGGAAAACUCACCCGGGCCGGACACUAUGAGGAUUGACAGAUUGAGAGCUCUUUCUUGAUUUGGUGGUUGGUGGUGCAUGGCCGUUCUUAGUUGGUGGAGCGAUUUGUCUGGUUAAUUCCGAUAACGAACGAGACUCCAGCCUGCUAAUUAGUGCGUUCGUCCACUGCGUCUGUGUGGGCGGCGUUGGGCAAGGCUGCUGUCGCGAGCCGAAAGCUUCUCCCUCUUCUGUUUCGGCUGUUUCCGUGUUAUUCUCCUGCUCUCUCUUCUUACCGCGGUCGGUCGGUCGGUCGGUCGGUCGGUMGGUCGGUGGRYGGGUGGGYAGGCAGUCWGUCUGUCUGUCUGUCUGUCUGUCUGUCUGCCUGCCUGUCUGUCUGUUUGACCGUGAGCGUGGGGUAGGGUGGGGUGUGGAGUUGGUGCGGAUGGCGUUGGAUGGUUGAGGGGUUGACGCUCGUGAUGGUUUGGUGAGUCCAGCGUUGGCUCCCGGGUGCGGCGCGAAUGCCUACUUCUUAGAGGGACAAGCGGGAGAAGCCGCACGAAAUAGAGCAAUAACAGGUCUGUGAUGCCCUUAGAUGUCCGGGGCCGCACGCGCGCUACAAUGACGGUGUCAACGAGUUAGACCUUCUGGCCCGAAAGGGUUGGGCAAACUGGUCAAUCACCGUCAUGACAGGGAUCGGGGCUUGGAAUUGUUCCCCGUGAACGAGGAAUUCCUAGUAAGUGCAAGUCAUAAGCUUGCGCUGAUUACGUCCCUGCCCUUUGUACACACCGCCCGUCGCUACUACCGAUUGAAUGGUUUAGUAAGGUCCUUGGAUUGGCGCCAUUGUGGUGGCCGCCGAGAGGCGACUGCCCGUCAGGCGCUGAGAAGACGACCGAACUUGAUCAUUUAGA
rnacentral:rRNA from 1 species